rnacentral:rRNA from 1 species
CGUGGGCAAUCUGCCCUAAAGACUGGGAUACCACUUGGAAACAGGUGCUAAUACCGGAUAACAACAUGAAUCGCAUGAUUCAAGUUUGAAAGGCGGCGCAAGCUGUCACUUUAGGAUGAGCCCGCGGCGCAUUAGCUAGUUGGUGGGGUAAAGGCCUACCAAGGCAAUGAUGCGUAGCCGAGUUGAGAGACUGAUCGGCCACAUUGGGACUGAGACACGGCCCAAACUCCUACGGGAGGCAGCAGCC